rnacentral:rRNA from 1 species
GACGAACGCUGGCGGCGUGCUUAACACAUGCAAGUCGAACGGUGAAGCGCCUUCCUUUUUGGUGGGUGUGGAUGAGUGGCGAACGGGUGAGUAACACGUGAGUAACCUGCCCCCUUCUUCUGGAUAACCGCAUGAAAGUGUGGCUAAUACGGGAUAUUCUGGGUCUGUCGCAUGAUGGGUCUGGGAAAGAUAUUGUUUCGGUGGGGGAUGGGCUCGCGGCCUAUCAGCUUGUUGGUGGGGUGAUGGCCUACCAAGGCGGUGACGGGUAGCCGGCCUGAGAGGGUGGACGGUCACACUGGGGCUGAGACACGGCCCAGACUCCUACGGGAGGCAGCAGUGGGGAAUAUUGCACAAUGGGCGCAAGCCUGAUGCAGCGACGCCGCGUGAGGGAUGGAGGCCUUCGGGUUGUGAACCUCUUUCGCCAGUGAAGCAGGCCUGCCUCGUUUGUGGGUGGGUUGACGGCAGCUGGAUAAGAAGCGCCGGCUAACUACGUG